AGUAGUUCUGCCUUUUUAACUCUUGAAGAUUCUGCGAAAAAAACAGCAAAGGAUGGAAGAUGUUGUGUUUUAAUUUUGCUUUGACAUUGGAGAUCAGCUUAUGUACAAGAAUUGCUGGUGUUCUUCCUCUUUUAAAGAAGCAAGACGACUCAAAUGAUGACCUGUAGCAGGGGUUGGUAAACUUUUGUCUGUGAAGGACCGGAUAAUUGUGAACCAAGAGUCAUUACUGGACAGUACUAGCUUCAAACAUACGCUGCAAAACUUGCAAGAUAGAGGCAUCUUCACUCCAUCCUGAGAAGUUGUGCCAGAGAGCUUGAAUGAGUCUGCCCUUCUCACAACCUUUGAAAACUUCACUAGAGAACUGAGAAGAAAAUACAAGGACCAAAGGGACCUAUGUGGAAAUCAGAAGCAUGGUUUGGUUUCAAUGGUAGUGUUUUCACACAGCUGAACUACCGGAAAACAAUGAUUUGGUCAUGCUAAUAGAUAAGGAAGAGAAAAGAGGGAACCAAGCGAAGGACUGGAGAGGAGUUGGGGACAAAGAAGGAGGUAGACUGUGGCUGGUUGGUCAGCUGAGUUGUGGCAGGUCUUGAGACACAUGCAUGUACAGGUUGUCCUAAAAUCUUGUCUACGGGAUGAACAUUAGAGCUAUUUUAGUCCCCUCCUUUUUCUGUCCAGUUAUUUAUAAAUCUCUAAUGACUUAUUAGCACUUUCGAGAAAAGUAUCUUAUCCUAACCAAAUUCAUUUAACUAACUUGGAAGAUCUUCAAAGUCCUGUCUUACUUUCUGUGAUACCAAUGUAAGCCGAUUUAUUAUGGGUAUUUGUUCACAGUAUUCAAUAUGCGUAUUGGUAGCAUGAAUAUAAAUUUUCCCAUUUUAGCUUGUUCUGUAUUGCUAAUGCCUGAAAGGUGUGUAGGGGGAUGCCUUAUCAUAGUUCUUGAACACUAAUGCUAGCUAUGAAUAUUACCAUGUGCUGGCAGCGUCUUUUUAACACAAACCAUGCACUCAACUUACAUAUUUAUAUUUAACCAAAAUGUGAUCAUUUUGUUGUUGUGGUGGUGGUUUAGGUUAGGUACAGAAGGAGUCCACUUUAUUCAAAAGAUGCAAAGAAAGCACCGAAUUGCAUAAUGAAACUUUUAAACCAGAUAUACCUGUGCAGACUCAAUAAGCUAGAGAAGUUUCAGAAUUUUGUUCUUCAAGGGUUGAGCAAUCUUGAGAAGGAUAUUCAGCCCCUGGAACACCUUGAAAAGGACGCUCUGGAGUUCGAGGGGAAACAGUCUGCUGAUCUGAAAUUGUUCUGUGAUCUGCAAGUGCUGAGGUGUUCCUCUGCACCCUGACCGUCUGUCCUCUGAGGAUCCGUUUCGUCUUCAGGCGAUGGCUUCCUGAGGCCAGUAGGUGCUAACACACACCUCAGGUGAGUGUGUCCACAACUGACUCCUGUCCUCUGCUUCCCUGCCCUGUCCCAGUUCAGACCCUCCCCUGCAGAGCUGUGGCAUCACCGCCUGCUCCUGCAACUCAGAAUUUUACAUUUGACUCUCUCCCUGCCGAUGUUUUGUGGCGUCUCCCAGUGAAAUCUCCUAUAGGAUCUAGCCUACAUCUUCCCUAAUUCUGUGGGGGGAAAUGCCACAACUGUGCCUCUUCCCCUGCCGUCUCCUAGCUCUUCUCCUUUUCCCAGUAACAAUAAUUUGGCUGCUUGUGGUUCUUGGUCCACGCCAACAUCUCGCCCACUCACCCUGCUGGAUACCAUGACAGCUCCCGCUUAGCGAGGCACUCCAGGCUGUACUCUUUCAGCCUCAUCUUCUGCCCUGACCUUACUUACCCUGUACUUACUUACCCUGUACCGAA